UACGUAGGUGGCAAGCGUUAUCCGGAAUUAUUGGGCGUAAAGCGCGCGCAGGCGGUUUCUUAAGUCUGAUGUGACAGCCCACGGCUCAACCGUGGAGGGUCAUUGGAAACUGGGGAACUUGAGUACAGAAGAGGAGAGCGGAAUUCCACGUGUAGCGGUGAAAUGCGUAGAUAUGUGGAGGAACACCAGUGGCGAAGGCGACUUUCUGGUCUGUAACUGACGCUGAGGCGCGAAAGCGUGGGGAGCAAACAGG
rnacentral:misc_RNA from 1 species